GAUAACGGCGUCGAGCGGCGGACGGGUGAGUAAUGCCUAGGAAAUUGCCCUGAUGUGGGGGAUAACCAUUGGAAACGAUGGCUAAUACCGCAUGAUGCCUACGGGCCAAAGAGGGGGACCUUCGGGCCUCUCGCGUCAGGAUAUGCCUAGGUGGGAUUAGCUAGUUGGUGAGGUAAGGGCUCACCAAGGCGACGAUCCCUAGCUGGUCUGAGAGGAUGAUCAGCCACACUGGAACUGAGACACGGUCCAGACUCCUACGGGAGGCAGCAGUGGGGAAUAUUGCACAAUGGGCGCAAGCCUGAUGCAGCCAUGCCGCGUGUGUGAAGAAGGCCUUCGGGUUGUAAAGCACUUUCAGUCGUGAGGAAGGUGGUGUAGUUAAUAGCUGCAUUAUUUGACGUUAGCGACAGAAGAAGCACCGGCUAACUCCGUGCCAGCAGCCGCGGUAAUACGGAGGGUGCGAGCGUUAAUCGGAAUUACUGGGCGUAAAGCGCAUGCAGGUGGUUUGUUAAGUCAGAUGUGAAAGCCCGGGGCUCAACCUCGGAAUAGCAUUUGAAACUGGCAGACUAGAGUACUGUAGAGGGGGGUAGAAUUUCAGGUGUAGCGGUGAAAUGCGUAGAGAUCUGAAGGAAUACCGGUGGCGAAGGCGGCCCCCUGGACAGAUACUGACACUCAGAUGCGAAAGCGUGGGGAGCAAACAGGAUUAGAUACCCUGGUAGUCCACGCCGUAAACGAUGUCUACUUGGAGGUUGUGGCCUUGAGCCGUGGCUUUCGGAGCUAACGCGUUAAGUAGACCGCCUGGGGAGUACGGUCGCAAGAUUAAAACUCAAAUGAAUUGACGGGGGCCCGCACAAGCGGUGGAGCAUGUGGUUUAAUUCGAUGCAACGCGAAGAACCUUACCUACUCUUGACAUCCAGAGAACUUUCCAGAGAUGGAUUGGUGCCUUCGGGAACUCUGAGACAGGUGCUGCAUGGCUGUCGUCAGCUCGUGUUGUGAAAUGUUGGGUUAAGUCCCGCAACGAGCGCAACCCUUAUCCUUGUUUGCCAGCGAGUAAUGUCGGGAACUCCAGGGAGACUGCCGGUGAUAAACCGGAGGAAGGUGGGGACGACGUCAAGUCAUCAUGGCCCUUACGAGUAGGGCUACACACGUGCUACAAUGGCGCAUACAGAGGGCGGCCAACUUGCGAAAGUGAGCGAAUCCCAAAAAGUGCGUCGUAGUCCGGAUUGGAGUCUGCAACUCGACUCCAUGAAGUCGGAAUCGCUAGUAAUCGUGGAUCAGAAUGCCACGGUGAAUACGUUCCCGGGCCUUGUACACACCGCCCGUCACACCAUGGGAGUGGGCUGCAAAAGAAGUAGGUAG
rnacentral:rRNA from 1 species